AACGAACGCUGGCGGCGUGCUUAAUACAUGCAAGUCGAACGUGAUUCCCGACUUCGGUUGGGAUGAAAGUGGCGAACGGGUGAGUAACACGUAAGUAAUCUGCCUUCAAGUUUGGGAUAACCCUGCCAACGCGGGGCUAAUACCGGAUGUGGUCCAGCAGACCCAUGUUUGCGGGAUUAAAGGUCGCGAGACCGCUUGGAGAUGAGCUUGCGGCCCAUUAGCUAGUUGGUGAGGUAACGGCCCACCAAGGCAGGGAUGGGUAGCCGGCCUGAGAGGGUGUACGGCCACAUUGGGACUGAGAUACGGCCCAGACUCCUACGGGAGGCAGCAGUAGGGAAUUUUGCGCAAUGGACGGAAGUCUGACGCAGCAACGCCGCGUGAAGGAUGAAGGCCUUCGGGUUGUAAACUUCUGUUGGAUGGGAAAAAAAGCCUUUUAAGAGGAAUUGAUGGUACCAUUCGAGUAAGCACCGGCUAACUACGUG
rnacentral:rRNA from 1 species